UACGAAGGGGGCUAGCGUUGCUCGGAAUCACUGGGCGUAAAGCGCACGUAGGCGGAUUGUUAAGUCAGGGGUGAAAUCCUGGAGCUCAACUCCAGAACUGCCUUUGAUACUGGCGAUCUCGAGUCCGGGAGAGGUGAGUGGAACUCCUAGUGUAGAGGUGGAAUUCGUAGAUAUUAGGAAGAACACCAGUGGCGAAGGCGGCUUACUGGUCCGGUACUGACGCUGAGGUGCGAAAGCGUGGGGAGCAAACAGGG
rnacentral:rRNA from 1 species